CCUACGGGAGGCAGCAGUGGGGAAUAUUGCACAAUGGGGGCAACCCUGAUGCAGCAACGCCGCGUGUAUGAAGAAGUACUUCGGUUUGUAAAGCCCUGUCAGCAGGGAAGAAAGUGACGUUACUUGACCACGCAGCCCCGGCUAACUCCGUGCCAACAGCCGCGGUAAUACUUAGGGGGCAAACGUUCUCCAGAGUUACUGGUUGUAAAGGGAGUGUAGACUGCAAGGCAAGUCAGGAGUGAACGCCCCGGGCCCAACCAAGGGACUGCUUUGGAGACUGGGUGGCUGGAGGGCAUGAGAGGUAAGCAGAAUUCCUGGUGUAGCGGUGAAAUGCGUAGAGAUUAGGAGGAACACCGGUGGCGAAGGCGGCUUACUGGACUAUAACUGACGUUGAGGUUCGAAGGCGUGGGGAGCAAACAGGAUUAGAUACCCCAGUAGUC
rnacentral:rRNA from 1 species